rnacentral:rRNA from 1 species
AGCUCCAAUAGCGUAUAUUUAAGUUGUUGCAGUUAAAAAGCUCGUAGUUGGAUUUCAGGUGGGUAUGACUGGUCUGCCUUACUGGUGUGUACUAUGACUAUUCACUUUUCUGUCGGGGACGCGCUACUGGCCUUAACUGGCUCGGUACGCGGAGUCGGCGAUGUUACUUUGAAAAAUUAGAGUGUUCAAAGCAGGCCUACGCAUUGAAUACAUUAGCAUGGAAUAACGCGAUAGGACUCCUAUCCUAUUGUGUUGGUCUUCGGGACGGGAGUAAUGAUUAAGAGGGACAGUUGGGGGCAUUCGUAUUUCAUUGUCAGAGGUGAAAUUCUUGGAUUUAUGGAAGACGAACUUCUGCGAAAGCAUUUGCCAAGGAUGUUUUCA